UACGUAGGGGGGCAAGCGUUUGUCCGGAAUCAUUGGGCGUAAAGAGCGUGUAGGCGGCCUGAUAAGUCGGUUGUGAAAGUCAAGGGCUCAACCCUUGAAUGCCGGCCGAUACUGUCAGGCUAGAGUCCGGAAGAGGCGAGUGGAAUUCCUGGUGUAGCGGUGAAAUGCGCAGAUAUCAGGAGGAACACCGAUGGCGAAGGCAGCUCGCUGGGACGGUACUGACGCUGAUGCGCGAAAGCGUGGGGAGCAAACAGG
rnacentral:rRNA from 1 species